rnacentral:hammerhead_ribozyme from 1 species
ACCUUGCUGACGAGUGCUAAAAUAGCACGAAACCUACGUCCAGGGU